rnacentral:rRNA from 1 species
CACGUAGGGGGCAAGCGUUGUCCGGAUUCAUUGGGCGUAAAGAGCUCGUAGGCGGUUCGAUAAGUCGGGUGUGAAACCUCCAGGCUCAACCUGGAGACGCCACCCGAUACUGUCGUGACUAGAGUCCAGUAGGGGAGCGUGGAAUUCCUGGUGUAGCGGUGGAAUGCGCAGAUAUCAGGAGGAACACCGAUGGCGAAGGCAGGUCUCUGGGCCAUUACUGACACUGAGAAGCGAAAGCAUGGGGAGCGAACAGG